ensembl:miRNA MIR203B microRNA 203b
AGUGGUUCUUAACAGUUCAACAGUUCUCUAUCGAAAUUGUGAAAUGUUUAGGACCACUUGA